AUUGAACGCUGGCGGCAGGCCUAACACAUGCAAGUCGAGCGGGGUUUUCGGACCUAGCGGCGGACGGGUGAGUAAUGCGUAGGAAGCUGCCCGAUAGAGGGGGAUACCAGUUGGAAACGACUGUUAAUACCGCAUAAUGUCUACGGACCAAAGUGUGGGACCUUCGGGCCACAUGCUAUCGGAUGCGCCUACGUGGGAUUAGCUAGUUGGUGAGGUAAUGGCUCACCAAGGCGACGAUCCCUAGCUGGUUUGAGAGGAUGAUCAGCCACACUGGAACUGAGACACGGUCCAGACUCCUACGGGAGGCAGCAGUGGGUAAGAUUGGACAAUGGGCGCAAGCCUGAUCCAGCCAUGCCGCGUGUGUGAAGAAGGCCAUCGGGUUGUAAAGCACUUUCAGCGAGGAGGAAGGGUGGUGUGUUAAUAGCACAUCAUUUUGACGUUACUCGCAGAAGAAGCACCGGCUAACUCUGUGCCAGCCGCCGCAGUAA
rnacentral:rRNA from 1 species